CUCAGAGUAGGGGGUAGCACUUGGGCUGUGGAGGUUGGGUUGGGGACUUAGUCUCUGAGCGGAUAAAAGCGGGCGGAUCACCAGGUGCACAGAGCAUGUUUCAGGUUAACAGGUGCACAAGGAGUCCAAGCAGGGGUGGCCGUAUUUGAGGGCAGCACUCAGGCCAUGGAGAACAGAAAAUAACAGGCUCUCCGCAGCCAGUAAAAGGCUAGCAUGCGAUGAAGUUCACACAGGAUGCCAUCUUCAUCCCUGAAACGGUUUUCAUCCUGAAGGAGACUGUGUAGGAGGCAGAGGAGGAAAGAACAGUUAGAACAGCAUGCCAAACUGACACUUGGUUGCCUGAGUGUUCCUGUGCUGUGGGUGGAGAAGUGGUCCACCGGGACCAUCACUGAAGAGCUCGGGGCCCAGAUAGAUUACGCUCACGACCAUCAGUAUACAACCCCUAUACGCCACAGAUGGAGCUGACGGAGAGUGAGAACAGUGAAGACCCUAACUCCCUGUAUGAACCUGAGAGCUCAGAAUCACAAUCACAGUGCGAGCCAAGAUACACUAUCGAUCACUUUGGGGUACCGGGGUGGCGUUCCGAAAAUGGGAAAGGAGCAUGCCAUUCAACAGCGAAUUCAAAGAUACACCCGUUCAUAAAGGGAAUCAGAGUGGAAUAGUUUUUCCGCAGAUUUUUUAUUUUUAAAAACCCUUUUCUAUGGAUGUACAACCUUGUCCCGGUCCUGCUGUUUCAACUCUCUCUUCCAACCUUUGAAUGCUCAGCUAUGAAAAGCCAACUGACAUUUACUCCUGAGGCGUUGAACUGUUGCACCCUCUAUAACCAUUGUGGUUAUUAAUUUUGAUGUAAAAUGGGCUUUUGUAAAAAAUAAAUAAAAUAAAAACAUUUGAUUGAUUGUCUGCUGUGCUUGAUGCUGUGUAUUCACUAACUGUCUGAGUGCUGGGACAUUUUAAUAGUAUCUGUAAUGUAUUUUGGUGUGUAUUUAAUCUGCAUCUUAACUUCAUAAAGUGGCAAUCUGCAGUAGAAACAAUAACAACGUGUCUCUCUGCUCCUCUUUCGGUAAAAAGCUGAGGGAUGGGUCUGGAGAAAUGUAAGCUCUGUCAAAUGCAUAGACAGAGCUAUAGAUGCAAGGACUAUGAUAUCAAAAUUGUAAUCCCGUUUCUAUGAUCUGUUUCCACUACCAUCUACCCAGUUCGCUUUGGAUAAAGGCGUCUGUUAAAUGGCAUAUAUUAUUAAAGUCUACUUUUACUCAGCCAACUAGCUGCCCGGUGUAGUUACCGUUCCUUUCCAAAUAGAUGGCAGCCAAAUCUAGUUGAAGU